CGGGCUGGUCCUGCCCCCGGCAGCCCGGUCCUUCGGCGCAGCGCUGAGGCCGGUGCCCGGCUGCUUCCCGCUCUGCGCGGCCGGGGCCCGAGGGCGGCGGGCAUGUUCCGCCGCCUCCUGCCUGGCGCGCCCCGGGCGCGGGCGGGCGCCUGGUUCGGGGCUCUAGGGGCCCGCAGGCGCGGCUCGGACGCGGGGUGGCGGGCAUCGGCCCCCGAGGAGGCCGUGAGGGAGUGGACGCUGCCCGUGGGCCCGUUCGGACGGCUGAGGACGCGGCUGCCGUGCCGCCUGCUCGUGAGGCCCCUGGAUCCCCUGGCGGCCCGGGACGGCGGCCGCGUGCGGGUGGCGGUGUGCGGCGCGGGGCGCGGGGCGAGCGGCCUGGACGGCCUGCGGGUGGAGUACGACGCGGCUCGGCAGGAGGUGGCCGUCCUGUCGGACGACAUCGACCCGCGGGCGGCGGUGGAGGUGGACGCGCCCCCCACCUUUGAUCUGAGUAUCGAGUCUUCAGGGUCUGGCUCUGUAAAGGUGCAGAAUAUUGAAUGUGACAGCUGUAAAAUUGACACUGCGCAGGGGACCAGCGUCUUGCAGUCUGUGAAGAGCCAAAACUUACAUGUUCAAACAAAAGGAGGCAAUGUGACCUGUCUGGGAACAAUUUACGGAAAUGUAGAUAUUCGUGCAUCACAUCAAAGUACUGUGACCAUAGAUAAACUUCAGGGAAGUUGUGUUAAUAUAUCUACAGAGGAUGGUUUGCUGAAAGUCAAGUCUCUUUAUACAGAAUCGUCAUUUCUGACUUCUGCUACCGGGGAUAUUGCACUAGGAAAUGUUCACGGAAAUGUCACAUUACAAAGCAAGAUGGGUAAUAUUACAGUUGGUUCGUCCUCAGGAUGUCUGAAGGCCUCAAGUCAUCAGGGUGCCAUAGAUGUUUAUGUCAGCCAGCUGGGGGAAGUGGCACUGACGUCACAGGAAGGCGCUAUCACUGUCAAGGCCCCAUCUUCUUUACAAGCUUCUUUAAAGUUGUCAGGGAUAGAGGUGGUUAUGGACCCAGAAGCUCAUGUUCAGGAAAUGGCCGAAGACCGUGAAGGUGGUGGUGUGACAGUUUCAGGUGUCACUGAAAACUAAGUCUAGGUUGUAUACCUCCUGAAGUGGUUGGUCGGUAUCAUGAGGUACUCUGUGGUCACUCAGGCUGAAGUGCCAGCUGCUGAGACUCGCUGCGUUCUCUGAGUGCAUUCUCCAAUUUCCAUGAGCAUCUUGAUGCUGCUUUGUGUGCUGCCCAUAAAUGGCAAGGACUCAUGAAUCAAGCCAGCAGAUGUGGACGGUGGAUAAAGGCUGUUGCCCCUAAAGGCACUGUAAGUUUUAAACAUCAGAGCUGGUUUCAGUCUCUGAAACUGCAGGACUAAGAAAGACUUCAGCUGUGUUUAUUAGUUUUAGUGUGGACUAACAGACCGUUGAGUAUAAAAAUGCAGACACCAGCCAGUAUUCAUAUGAAUGUCACAAACAACGGCAUUAGCAGGGAAUACUGGUGAGCUUUCUCAGGGAGACUUUUGCAAAAUGUGCACUUAGUUGUAGAAUUCAUUUUCUGUUGCUAUGUUCCAAAUUACAGAACCCCCAAAGUGUGUUCUAAGGCCUCUGAUGAUGCCUGAAGCCACAGACGGUGUCAGCCGCCGUCCACUGUAGCUUUUCAUAAACACACAUGCCAGCUGAAUGCCCUUUCUGCUCGGCUAAGCAUGAUGUGCCCUGGUGAGUACUUACCUGGUGGUUCCAAUAGCAGAUAGCGGCUUCCUUUCCCUUUCUUACCACUCCACACAAGCGCACCCUCCCUGACUGUAGGGCGAGCCCCUCAGCGCAUCAUUUGUUUUGUUUAACUAAGUUGAGAACUUUUACCUUUUUCCUUAAAGCAUUUUGUGGCUUCUCUUUGUCAGGCCCAUGCAAAUAUCACUAUGGUUGUGCUUUAAGAUAACUGCGACGAUGGUUGGAUGGCCAGGGUGGCUACCUAGUGACAACAGACACAUGUAGCAUGCACAUGCAUAGCAAAGCGAUGAUUCACAUCCUCGUGCUACUUCAGGUGACACAUAGUUUAAAACAUAUGCAUUGCUUAUUUCUCAACUUUAUCCACUCUAAGUUACUGAAGAAAUAGAAAACAAAUCCUUGGAUGGGGGCAAGAGAACGGCUCUACCACACAUUUAAUGACUUCAGACCACUGUCUUAGCAGCUGAUGGUUGGUACUGUUGGCCUUGUGCUCAGUGUCACAUAGCUGAAAUAAAGAUGUUGACCCAUCUGGGAUAUUAUGUAUAGACCGUGGCGAGAACUCUCUCAAGUUCUCUCACAUUAUAGAAAAAAUCAAAUUCCUUAUGCCUGUACGACAUCAUUUUUCUUGCUGGCUUCCACAAACAAUCUCUCCUUCUAAAGACUACCUACAUGUCAUCUCCUUCCUCAUGUGGGCCCUCUGUCUUCAAGUAAAACACAUGGAGUCCUUCUCACGCUCUGAAUGUCUGACUUUCUUGUAAACUCGACAAGUCUCUGCUUGGUUGGCCAAGAUAUUUAACAUGAUCAUGGGAAUAUCACAUCGCAUCCACAGCUCCCACUCAAGAGAUGACUAUGUGAAGGCACCAUUGUUGGAGUCACCUUAGGUUGUUGUAUUGUAGCACCAAAGGUGCACAGUUUCUUGUUGUGAAUAAAACACUUACCAUGUAGGUGAAGCCGGUGCCUCUGAUUUUACUGUAUCUAGUGUGGGUUGUGAUGUACCUCACUGUGGGAUGUAUGGAGAUACAAAUACACUUAAUAAAAUAAGCAGUGCUUUAUAGAUUUAUUCUGUGGACUCAAAACCAUACUGAACAGAUCAAUUUGGUGGAUUAUGUAUUUUGAUUUGGAUAAAUCAGUAAUUAAACACAGAUUUCAAAUAAACAUUUCUAAUUACAA